rnacentral:rRNA from 17 species
UGGUGACUAUAGCAAGGAGGUCACACCUGUUCCCAUGCCGAACACAGAAGUUAAGCUCCUUAGCGUCGAUGGUAGUCGAAC